UACGUAGGGGGCAAGCGUUGUCCGGAAUCAUUGGGCGUAAAGAGCGUGUAGGCGGCUAGGUAGGUCCGUUGUGAAAACUCGAGGCUCAACCUCGAGACGCCGAUGGAAACCAUCUGGCUAGAGUCCGGAAGAGGAGAGUGGAAUUCCUGGUGUAGCGGUGAAAUGCGCAGAUAUCAGGAAGAACACCCGUGGCUAAGGCGGCUCUCUAGUACGGUACUGACGCUGAGACGCGAAAGCGUGGGGAGCGAACAGG
rnacentral:rRNA from 1 species